GAUGAACGCUGGCGGAGUGCUUUAGGCAUGCAAGUGGAACGCUCUUUUGGCCGCAAGGCCGGAAGAGAGUCGCAGACGGGUGAGUAAUGCAUAGGAAUCUGCCCAUUGAUGGGGAAUAGCUGGUCGAAAGACCAAUUAAUACCGCAUAAGAUCGCAAGAUGAAAGGCUCGAAAGGGCCGUCGAUGGAGAAGCCUAUGUCCUAUCAGGUAGUUGGUGGGGUAAAGGCCCACCAAGCCAACGAUCUGUAGCUGGUCUGAGAGGACGACCAGCCACACUGGAACUGAGACACGGUCCAGACUCCUACGGGAGGCAGCAGUGGGGAAUUUUGGACAAUGGGCGAAAGCCUGAUCCAGCCAUUCCGCGUGCAGGAUGAAGGCCCUCGGGUUGUAAACUGCUUUUGUACAGAACGAAAAGGUUUCUACUAAUACUAGGAGCUCAUGACGGUACUGUAAGAAUAAGCACCGGCUAACUACGUGCCAGCAGCCGCGGUAA
rnacentral:rRNA from 1 species